rnacentral:rRNA from 1 species
GAUGAACGCUGGCGGCGUGCUUAACACAUGCAAGUCGAACGAAGCACUUCAUAAAGUUUACUUUAAGAAGUGACUUAGUGGCGGACGGGUGAGUAACGCGUGGGUAACCUGCCUUACACAGGGGGAUAACAGUUAGAAAUGACUGCUAAUACCGCAUAAAACAGCAGAGUCGCAUGACUCAACUGUCAAAGAUUUAUCGGUGUAAGAUGGACCCGCGUCUGAUUAGCUGGUUGGUGGGGUAACGGCCUACCAAGGCGACGAUCAGUAGCCGGCCUGAGAGGGUGAACGGCCACAUUGGGACUGAGACACGGCCCAAACUCCUACGGGAGGCAGCAGUGGGGAAUAUUGGACAAUGGGCGAAAGCCUGAUCCAGCGACGCCGCGUGAGCGAUGAAGUAUUUCGGUAUGUAAAGCUCUAUCAGCAGGGAAGAAAACGACGGUACCUGACUAAGAAGCCCCG